UACGUAGGGUGCGAGCGUUGUCCGGAAUUAUUGGGCGUAAAGGGCUCGUAGGCGGUCUGUUGCGUCAGGAGUGAAAAACUCGGGGCUUAACCCCCGAGCCUGCUUCUGAUACGGGCAGACUAGAGGUAUGCAGGGGGAGAACGGAAUUCCUGGUGUAGCGGUGAAAUGCGCAGAUAUCAGGAGGAACACCGAUGGCGAAGGCAGGUCUCUGGGCCAUUACUGACACUGAGAAGCGAAAAGCAUGGGGGAGCGAACAGG
rnacentral:rRNA from 1 species